UGUCCGAUGGUGUAACUGGCAACACGUCUGUCUCUGGAUCAGAAGAGUCCAGGUUCGAGCCCUGGUCGGACAA
rnacentral:tRNA from 1 species